rnacentral:lncRNA from 10 species
GCAGCCAAGAGCCUCCUGGCACAGCGGCACCAGGCAGGUGACGCCUAUUGGACCCCAGAGGUCAUCCCAGCUCCAGACGUGGACACAUUUUCUUCCAAUGAUGUCUACGGAUGAGGAAACUGAGGCCUGGAGAGGUUAAAGAGACCCGUUCAGAGUCCUACAGUGGCAGGUCUCUAUUUUCAUUAAAGAAGCUUAAAUAUUUUGUCAAGUUCAAAAAA